GACGAACGCUGGCGGCGUGCUUAACACAUGCAAGUCGAACGGUAAGGCUCCAGCUUGCUGGGGUACACGAGUGGCGAACGGGUGAGUAACACGUGGGUGACCUGCCCUGCACUUCGGGAUAAGCCUGGGAAACUGGGUCUAAUACCGGAUAGGACCGCACCGUGAGGGUGUGGUGGAAAGUUUUUUCGGUGUGGGAUGGGCCCGCGGCCUAUCAGCUUGUUGGUGGGGUAAUGGCCUACCAAGGCGGCGACGGGUAGCCGGCCUGAGAGGGUGGACGGCCACAUUGGGACUGAGACACGGCCCAGACUCCUACGGGAGGCAGCAGUGGGGAAUAUUGCACAAUGGGCGGAAGCCUGAUGCAGCGACGCCGCGUGGGGGAUGACGGCCUUCGGGUUGUAAACUCCUUUCACCAUCGACGAAGGGUUUCUGACGGUAGAUGGAGAAGAAGCACCGGCUAACUACGUGCCAGCAGCCGCGGUAAUACGUAGGGUGCGAGCGUUGCCCGGAAUUACUGGGCGUAAAGAGCUUCGUAGGUGGUUUGGUCGCGUCGUCUGUGAAAAUCCCGAGGCUUAACUCCGGGCGUGUCAUGCGAUACGGGCAUUAACUUGAGUACUGUAGGGGAGACUGGGA
rnacentral:rRNA from 1 species